UAUCCAUUGAAAAUAACUUGAAAGAUCAUAGCAAUAAAUCUGGAGGGGUAAGACCAUAUGUUAGAUCCAAAAUGCCGAGACUCAGAUGGACACAAAAUCUUCAUCGCAGCUUUGUGCAUGCAGUUGAGAGACUUGGCGGAGAAGAUCGAGCAACUCCAAAGAUGGUGCUACAAUUAAUGGAUGUGAAAGGCCUGACCAUAUCUCACGUAAAGAGUCACCUUCAGAUGUACAGAAGCAUGAAGCAUGAACAGAUGAUACAAG